CUAAAUAGAAAAAAAAAAGAGAGAAAAGAGACAAGAUGAAAAAAAAAAUUAUAGGAAAAUGAGAAGAAUUAAAAAAAAAAUUGUGAAUAAAGGAGUCAAGAGGAGGAUUGAAUUAGAGGUUGUGGGGGUGAUUUGACUGUGUUUACACUUGUUCCCUAUUGCUCCUCUAUUUCCUUCGAUUUGUAGCUUCUCAACCAUAUUU
rnacentral:lncRNA from 1 species